UUUUGUCUCUAAACCAACUACACAGUGCGCCUCACUCAAUCCCCUUUCUCCUCGUCUUGAUCCACCCGUCUCUCUCUCUAGUACGGCGCCACUAGGGUUCCGAUUCACGCCACCGCCGCCGUCGUCGUCUAUCGCAGGGCGCGUCCCUGCUUCCACGUUGAUCCACGGUCGACGUCGUCGCUCCUUCCACCAGCAGCCAACCGACUCGCGAGCGCGUGGCCCUCCUUGCAUCGAUUGCCUACUGAGGCCACCUCGCCCGCUCCCUCCCAUGGCGCCACUAUCCUAACCCAUGCCCAACUCCCUUUUCCCUCCUUCCAUGGCAGCCGUUCUGAAGGGGGGGGGGGGGGCAAGGUCCCUUCGCUCCCAUUGGUAUGAAGAGAGGGAAGCAACCUCUACUCCCUCCGCAUCCGGUGAACUAGGAACAUGGUGGCAACGACAUGGGUAAGAUAUUCCUCCCGCAUAUGGUCUCCCUCCUCUCCUCUCUACCUCUAGUGUGCAGGUUUCAACCCCCAACGAUGGACCCAGGCACCACAUCCGCCCAGCAAUUUUAUCUCAAAAAAACUAGCUCUGCUUUGAUUCAUGGAUUGGUAUGCGUAGUUGUGUUUUCUUCAGCAUGUUGUCUAUUCUAUAUAUGUCUUACCUGUGUAAAUCCUUUGUUUCAGAUCUAAAAUGUUUCCUCAGAAUGAAUAGUUUAUGCCAUGUGAAACAUUGCUGCUAUGAAUGAUGCGUGGUGUAGGGAAUUCUGAAAGUUCCCUCAAGAUUUUACCUGUUUCUAUUUGAUAGUUAUAUGCUAACAUAUUUGUUAAUCAUGUCAAAGGGGGUGUAUCAGCAAUAGUUAGCCAAAACUGGAGGGGUUCACAGGAAAGCAAGCAAAGAGGGGGCAUAAGAUCGAAGGCGCGUGAGCUGGGGGGGAUUGUUAGACUUGCGCCCUUGCAGACAUACUCAUCUGUGGCUCUCUAAUCAGAUCCAGGCGCUGCCUCCCAUGUAGCAGGGGCCAAACUAUGCACCACCGUAGGCAUAGUAGGAUCUCUAAUCAGAUGAGCUGCAUCCACUAUUGUACGCAUGUUAAGCUGGGGCGAUGAAAUUGCAUGUGUAUUGCUGAACAGCCCAUCGAUCUUUGAGAAGAUUUUCUCUCAUGAGUUUAUUCUUGACAUCAUAGGCGCCCUUGAAUUUAUGAGGCAUCCAAAGCAAGGAGAGGAUGGAUGAACUCGACAAUUUCCGAAGUUUACCCGUAUUUGGUCAGGCAAGAAUCUGAACAAUAUCCCCACAGUUGUUUUUGUAUCCCAACAUACCACCAUGGUGAGUAUAUGUGUUCCAAUGAGAGGAUGGUGCUAGCUUAACUCCUGAAUAAGGAAAACAAUAUAUUGAGCCUGUGAAGAAGGCUGCCAUCGAGAUAAAGAGCGAGCACCCCAAGGUAUACAACGUUGACUUACAAAUAUGAUGGUUUACGAUUUGUCGCCGAUGCUGUCACGAGCUCCAUUGCAUGGCCAUCUAGCAAGUAGAUGAAACCCUACAAGCCAGGGGCAUCUUCGUCAUCCCAUCGCUAAGGUUGCUGUCAGGUGGUGUAGGGAAAACAAGAGGACCAAGAAGGAACCAUGAAGUUGUCAAUUUGCGUCAACUGGAUAUCUUCUAUAACGGAGCAAAAGCAAUGCAUCUCGUAGCUACCAUUUUGCAAAGGAUAUCUUGUGUAACGGAACAAGCAUUGAAUCGUCGGUUAUGCAUCUAUCAUUUUUUAAACCUAUCGUCUGUUUCGGUCACCACUAAGACAAAUGUUUCCACUUUUUUAGUUACCUCUAUUAUGAGAACUAUUAAUAUUAUUUUGUUUGCUUCAGGUUUGAUAUUUCAGAGUCGUGAAAGUUAUUGUAACUUGUUAGAGAAUGAUGAGAUAUGUAACCUGAUUGAUAUUGUUUUGAUAAAAUAAUAUGAUAAAUA